AGAAAGAGAUAUGCAUGCUUUGCAAAAGAAUGCCACAUUUAUGAUGAAGGUAUCUGGAGAGAGAAUUGCUGAAUGCAUGACAUCAUAGCUGCAGAAACAUAUAUAUGCAUAUAUACAUAUAUACCUUUUUACACUUAUAUCUAAUAUGUGCAUUAGACAUAUAUUUUACAUUUGCUAUAAUACUGGUUAUAUAAGCAUCUUGUAUAUUGACGUUCAUCUUUGGUUUAGAUAAGUGAAGGAUGUUUUAUCAGAUAAAUGUUGGUACAAAAUAAACAAGGAUGAUUCCGCGAAAUAUUUGAACAGAGCGAAGGUUGACAAACAUGGUGGUUAGAUAUCUAAAUUCUAAGAAUUAUAAAUGCGUCACAUAUGUACCUUGUUUCUAGGAAAUUAUCAUGACUUUUUUUACUUUGGCUGUAUAAAGAUGAAAUUGAUCAAUUCGUUACCUGAUUGGAUUAAACUUAGGGGAGGUAUAUGCUAAUUUUGUGGUUUGAAGCUAUAAAUUUUCUACGAUGUCAAAAUAAAGCAGCAACCAUUUUAUACCUAUCAACGUGUAUUGGUCUUCAGUGGUUGUCCGGCCGGUGAUUCACCCACAGACAAACCAGGGGCUCCUUUCAAUUGGUAGCAGAGGAUGGUUCACUGACUAUCCAGACCCAACUCAUCCAUUCUUGCCCGGAGACAAGGUUCUGGUGAAACAACUGGCUGUCCGCCACAAGACUGGUCCAAUAUAUCAAGGUCCAUUUGAGGUUCUGAGAGUUGCUCGAACGGCUGUCCUUACCGACCAGAGUCCACAGUGGAUACACGCCAGCCGGCUCAAGAAGACACCGGAAGGAGUCCUGAAGGAAUUCCCCGGACAAGCAUGAGUCUUUUGGACAAGAUGCCUUCAAAGGAAAUGACUUUGAUCAUACCCCCAAGCCUGCAAAGUAGAUAUGAGCAAUGGCUAAGAGGCUAUCCUAAACCACUUUGUCCAGAGGAUCCAAAGACUAUGCAGGACUUGUAUGAGGAAGAAUUCAUGUUCAGGGAAUAUACCAAUGAACUAGAGACUGAGGACUUGAAAGAUCAAAACUUUCCUGAACCAUUUAGUAAGCAGAUGA